AGUGAACGCUGGCGGUAGGCCUAACACAUGCAAGUCGGACGGCAGCACAGUAAGAGCUUGCUCUUACGGGUGGCGAGUGGCGGACGGGUGAGGAAUACAUCGGAAUCUACUUUUUCGUGGGGGAUAACGUAGGGAAACUUACGCUAAUACCGCAUCCGACCUACGGGUGAAAGCAGGGGAUCUUCGGACCUUGCGCGAUUGAAUGAGCCGAUGUCGGAUUAGCUAGUUGGCGGGGUAAAGGCCCACCAAGGCGACGAUCCGUAGCUGGUCUGAGAGGAUGAUCAGCCACACUGGAACUGAGACACGGUCCAGACUCCUACGGGAGGCAGCAGUGGGGAAUAUUGGACAAUGGGCGCAAGCCUGAUCCAGCCAUACCGCGUGGGUGAAGAAGGCCUUCGGGUUGUAAAGCCCUUUUGUUGGGAAAGAAAAGCAGCAGGUUAAUACCCCGCUGUUCUGACGGUACCCAAAGAAUAAGCACCGGCUAACUUCGUG
rnacentral:rRNA from 1 species